AGGACGAGAAGUAACGCUCAGUGUGCCUUGCCCAACCAGUGGCCUUACACAAUCAGGUACUCCUGGCUUCCUGCCCAGCCUUCCACCACUCCUUGAGGGGAGGACCCGGCCUUUGUUGAGUGGUUGUGCUGCUCUACUGCAGUAACAUUAUUAGCUGUCGUAGAGGUUGUGGGUCUACAGUAGCUGUGGGUUCUGCUUGUAGAUGUUUUCCUGUUAGUAAGUCACUCUUGUAUUUUGAAGAUUGGCUGUCCAGCGGCUGACCUGUUUAGUCUAGUCAUUGUUACAUUGUGCCUUCCAUGCUGUUGUGCAAAACAGUGGCUGUGUAUUGUGCAGGACUACGCACAUCAACACACCUCAGAGGCCACAGCCAAGGUUUACUACAAACAGAUAACUUUGUUGUCUGUAAGACCUAAAGAAGAUGUUUUAUUAUCAAGAUAGUGGUUAUUGUACAAGAGAUCAUCACAGGCAGAUUCAGUGUGUAAUGUUAUAAAGCAGAUACACAUCCUGUGCUGCAGCAGAGCAAUUAUCUAGUCACACAAGGUCCUAUACUUUUGUCUAGUCAUAUGUAGAACAGUUAGAUACAUGUACUAACCUAAGUAUUGUUUAUAAAUAAGUACCUGAAGAGUGUAUGCACUCACCCUUCUACAUGUACUAACACCUUCACGGAGAACUUGCAGUAGUUUUAUAUAACAACAUAACGGUGCUCCACAUCAGGUCUGGAGAAGUAGUUACAUGGGACAGUUUUAUAUAACAACAUAACGGUGCUCCACAUCAGGUCUGGAGAAGUAGUUACAUGGGACAGUUUUAUAUAACAACAUAACGGUGCUCCACAUCAGGUCUGGAGAAGUAGUUACAUGGGACAGUUUUAUAUAACAACAUAACGGUGCUCCACAUCAGGUCUGGAGAAGUAGUUACAUGGGACAGUUUUAUAUAACAACAUAACGGUGCUCCACAUCAGGUCUGGAGAAGUAGUUACAUGGGACAGUUUUAUAUAACAACAUAACGGUGCUCCACAUCAGGUCUGGAGAAGUAGCUACAUGGGACAGUUUUAUAUAACAACAUACAGGUGCUCCACAUCAGGUCUGGAGAAGUAGUUAUAGGGGACAGUUUUAUAUAACAACAUACAGGUGCUCCACAUCAGGUCUGGAGAAGCAGUUACAUGGGACAGUUUUAUAUAACAACAUACAGGUGCUCCACAUCAGGUCUGGAGAUGUAGCUACAUGGGACAGUUUUAUAUAACAACAUACAGGUGCUCCACAUCAGGUCUGGAGAAGUAGCUACAUGGGACAGUUUUAUAUAACAACAUACAGGUGCUCCACAUCAGGUCUGGAGAAGUAGUUACAUGGGACAGUUUUAUAUAACAACAUAACGGUGCUCCACAUCAGGUCUGGAGAAGUAGCUACAUGGGACAGUUUUAUAUAACAACAUAACGGUGCUCCACAUCAGGUCUGGAGAAGUAGUUACAUGGGACAGUUUUAUAUAACAACAUAACGGUGCUCCACAUCAGGUCUGGAGAAGUAGCUACAUGGGACAGUUUACAGCCAAUACAUCAGGUUUGUCAGCUCCCAAACCAAACACAGAACACAACAAAAAUUCCUUGUAGCUCCAGUGUUUGGCGUUGAUAUAAAAAGGAGGAGGGAAUUUUAGGAAACUUUAUAGUAAAUCUCUUUAUGAGUACCUGGUAUUGCGUAUAAAUAACGGAUCAUUGUGGGGAAUAUGGUUUGGUUUGGGCGCUGACAGUGACUGUGUUGGACUGUCGACCUGGCCAAUAGACAGUAACAUCUGUAAGGCAAACAAACCCUUCACAAGUGACUGUUAUCUAACCCCUGACAGUUUACUUUUUAUAUAUGUCAGGAAGUGGUGAGCAAGCAUUAUUAAGUACUACAAAAUCAUAACACAAAAGGCCAAAAAAAGUGUUCAUUCAAUUCAACAUGGAGAUAUUAAAAGUAAAACCGGUUAAAUAGGUGACGAAAUAUAUCACCUUGAGGAAUGCCUCCUCUACCAGCCAAAACCUGCUGCAGCAUUCAUCAACCAUUACAUUUACUUGCUUACAUUACAUUUACCAUCAACAUUUACAUUUUCUGGCUGCUGGAAAGUCACCAUAAUCAGAAACACGGCCACCAACACACCGUGACUUAACUUAACACAGGCAACACGCUGUAACACAAGGCUAAGUAACAAUCCGGUGCACUAAGGUCACUAUUCUCAAACACAUCCUUCUCUUACCUCAGUCAUUUCUAAAGGCCAAGGAAGAGGUUAAACACGUCAUCUUGAGUGUGUCUUUACCUUCAUGGUGCAGGAACUUUGCCAGACUACCACCAGGUCAUAAAACUACUACCACCGGAAAUGCCCACAAAUCCCCUGAAAGCCUUGUUAAAUGUGUGUGCUUGGCGCUGAAAGUUUACGAACAUGACCCUAAGGCAGUGGGGCAAGGAACGGUGUGUGCUUGUUGCCCAGCGUCCAGGAAAGAGUUUGUGCUGCUGUCCAAGUGUUAUCAGCUGUAAUGAUGCUGUUUGUGACCGUCUGUGUGCCUUUGGACAAGAAACAGAUUAUGCGGCAAACCAAAAGACUCCUAGUGGUAGUUUUCUUAUCGGCACUGUCCCCUCCUAUAAAAAGUACAGGAAUUCAGGAACCUUACUUAAACUUACUUAAGCCUUACUUAAUAACAGGACGCGGAUUCAGUUGGUUCAUGACAGCAUCUAAGCUCCAUAGUCAGCAUGGUCAAGGUAAAUUAUAGGAAUCUUUAUUAUACACAUUACUUUUUUAUCAAAGUGUGUCCUCUGGUGGUGCUGGUACGAGGGACACUGAGUGGUUCAUUGAGACCAUUUUCCACGACUACUGUCCCUUGCCGUUAUGUUAUAGGAAUUUUUAUUAUACAAACCAGUGUCUUCAUCUAUAGGUGUGUCCUCUGGUGGUGCUGGUACGAGGGACACCGAGUGGUUCAUAGAGAUCGUUCUCCACUACUACCGUCCCUUGCCGUUCCCAUGUAGCACCAGGGUUGGCAGGUCCAGGGAGAGGUUCAUACAGGUUGUUCUCCACGACGUAUACUUGUUGCUGGUCAUCCCUGGCUCUGGUGGGGUUUACAGGUCCAGGGAGAGGUUCGUACAGGUUGUUCUCCACGACGUAUACUUGUUGCUGGUCUUCCCUGGCUCUGUUGGGGUUUACAGGUCCAGGGAGAGGUUCAUACAGGUUGUUCUCCACGACGUAUAAUUGUUGCUGGUCUUCCCUGGCUCUGUUGG